CAUAUUUUGAUCAAUUUUUUAUGACAAAUAUUUUUUUGUGUAAAAAAUACUCGGCAAAAGUGAUGGUGUAACUUUUUAUAGUGAAAGUGUUCUAUAGUUAAAUGAAAUCUUGAGCCCCUCAAAUUAUUUGCUACGCCCCUAUUUUCUGCACAUUUUUCUUUCUGUUUUUUGCCUUACGAUAGUAAUAUCACAUCUGCUUAAAAAAACUGCUGUAUUGACAAUAAUAACAAUAAUAAAUUUGUUUGACAUCCA